rnacentral:rRNA from 1 species
GACGAACGCUGGCGGCGUGCUUAACACAUGCAAGUCGAACGAAGAGCGAUGGAAGCUUGCUUCUAUCAAUCUUAGUGGCGAACGGGUGAGUAACGCGUAAUCAACCUGCCCUUCAGAGGGGGACAACAGUUGGAAACGACUGCUAAUACCGCAUACGAUCUAACCUCGGCAUCGAGGAUAGAUGAAAGGUGGCCUCUACAUGUAAGCUAUCACUGAAGGAGGGGAUUGCGUCUGAUUAGCUAGUUGGAGGGGUAACGGCCCACCAAGGCGAUGAUCAGUAGCCGGUCUGAGAGGAUGAACGGCCACAUUGGGACUGAGACACGGCCCAGACUCCUACGGGAGGCAGCAGUGGGGAAUCUUCCGCAAUGGACGAAAGUCUGACGGAGCAACGCCGCGUGAGUGAUGACGGCCGUCGGGUUGUAAAGCUCUGUUAAUCGGGACGAAAGGCCUUCUUGCGAAUAGUUAGAAGGAUUGACGGUACCGGAAUAGAAAGCCACGGCUAACUACGUG